rnacentral:rRNA from 1 species
UACGAAGGGGGGCUAGCGUUGCUCGGAAUCACUGGGCGUAAAAGCGCACGUAGGCGGUUUGCUAAGUCAGGGGUGAAAUCCUGGAGCUCGACUCCAGAACUGCCUUUGAUACUGGCGGACUUGAGUCCGGGAGAGGUGAGUGGAACUGCGAGUGUAGAGGUGAAAUUCGUAGAUAUUCGCAAGAACACCAGUGGCGAAGGCGGCUCACUGGCCCGGUACUGACGCUGAGGUGCGAAAGCGUGGGGAGCAAACAGG